rnacentral:rRNA from 1 species
GACGAACGCUGGCGGCGUGCUUAACACAUGCAAGUCGAACGGACAGGCCCUGCUUUUGUGGGGUGCUCGAGUGGCGAACGGGUGAGUAACACGUGAGUAACCUGCCCUUGACUUUGUGAUAACUUCAGGAAACUGGGGCUAAUACCGGAUAGGAGCUCCUGCUGCAUGGUGGGGGUUGGAAAGUUUCGGCGGUUGGGGAUGGACUCGCGGCUUAUCAGCUUGUUGGUGGGGUAGUGGCUUACCAAGGCUUCGACGGGUAGCCGGCCUGAGAGGGUGACCGGCCACAUUGGGACUGAGAUACGGCCCAGACUCGUACGGGAGGCAGCAGUGGGAAAUAUUGCACAAUGGGCGGAAGCCUGAUGCAGCAACGCCGCGUGCGGGAUGACGGCCUACGGGUUGUAACCCGCUUUCGCCUGUGACGAAGCGUGAGUGACGGUAAUGGGUAAAGAAGCACCGGCUAACUACGUG